rnacentral:lncRNA from 1 species
GGGGCGCAGCUGAACCAGCUGGAGAGGCAGCUGGGCCGGGCUGCCCAGCGCAUUGAGGAGCUGGAGGAGGAGCUGCGGAGGUGCCAGGCAGAGCUGGAUAACCUGCACUCAAGCACCCUCCUGACCCAUUGCUGCCCCCCCCGGAUGAAGGGGUUGAGCUGGGCAUUUGGGAGCAAAACCCCAGACUAGAGAACAGAC